AAAAUUGUGAAGGAGGUGAUGGCAUUUCCUACAAGCAAGCAGAAAAGAAAAAAAAAAAGAAAAAAGUUAUUAAAAGAAUAUGUCAUUGUCACACUUCAGGUCUUGAAGGACUUCUGAGGCUGUUCUGGAAAAGUUUCACCAUGUCAGGGUUCUAAGAAGCUGGAUUAAUGCUGGCCAUGCUUCCUGAUUUCAGCCUCCUGGGAAAAUUACAAGCAGGUAGAGGACUGCACCAGCUCUUAUUUGACAAGAUCUGCAACAAUAGCGAUAGAAACCAACGGUACGGUGUCCCACUGGCUCACAGCAAACAAAUUCCUCCGAUGUUAUAUCUAGCACUGGCUUGGGUUUAAACGAUAUCUUUAAAAUAUGUUUUUGUUUCUUCUCUGUCUCCCAAUGACUUAUUCUGUAACACUUGGCACAUUUCUGUGUCCAUCUCUAUAUGAACAUAAUCUCUCGAUUUCCUGCAGAAGUUCAGUAUUACAGAAAGGAGAAAAUACUUCAAAUUAAGCAGCAUCCAUCUGCACUGGCUAUGAGUGUACCACACACUUGGCCAUCAUGACUUAUGGCAAGCAUGUUUCCGUAUUUCUUUGUCUUUCUCUUGUAUAUUUUUUACUCACUUGGAUUAGCAUAUUUUUACUUGUUUCUCUCAUGUUGUCUAAAUAUUAAAUAUUUAUAAUUUA